UGGGGCAGCCUUCCUUCCACACCUCUGUCCUGAGCGGGCAGACGGAGCGCCUGUCCACAUGGGGCACAACACCUCACAGGGUUUUGUUUUUGUUUUCUAUUUGCAUUAAUUUUUUUUCAAUUGAAGAAUAACAUGAUACAGAAAAGUGAGUGAAAUAUAAAAGCACAGCUCAACAAACUGCACGAAAGGUGAGCUCCAUUUAACUACUGCUAAGAUAGGGAAGAGGCUCCCAGAAAUCUCAGCGCAGUUUGGCUGUGAUCUUCCUUCUCCUGAAAGGUAAGUGCUGUCCUGAUUUUUCAUGGUCUGCCUCCGUUUUGUGGCUUUUGGACCAAACAUGGUGAUGCACAGGGUUUGCGUGUUUUUGGUCCAGCGUCUUCGUCCGAGGCUGUGAUGACAAGAUUCACCCCAUCGUGGUGAUUUGCUGCAGUUCGUUCUCUCAGGAGGCUCUGUGCAUCUCCUAACACGGGUACAGCAGGAAGUACUCAGCCCUUCUCCUGGCUGAAGGGUAUUUGCUUCACUCCCAGGCUCUGCCUCUUAGGAACAUGUGUGUCAGGUCCAAGCAGAGAGUUAGCACAGACCCCUUGAGGGGUCUGUGAUAAGGGGCUCUUUUAUGGGCCUUGGCCUUCAGCUCUUGUGGAGCUGGUAACAUGUUGUCAGAAAGGGCUGUUCCUUCUGUACCUGGUGUCGGCCAGAUAGGCAGUUGGGAAGGACAGGUGGACAGGACUUGUGGACAAGGAUGACAGGAAUCUGGACGUAUCAUCUGGGAUGAACUCAGACCCAAGAGCUUUCUCAUCAUCUCCAAGCCUCCAGCUUUGACAUUCAGUGGUGGUGGGAGACAUGGGGCCCUUGUCCUGGGCUCACACCUCCCUGGCUGUGAACACAGAGGGCAAGGGAUGAGGGCUGACCGGAGCUGGAGGGGCUGCUGCCGUGGUAACGAAGUGAGCCGCUGACCUGAGUGGAAAGUGUCCUUUAGGACCUGCCUCCCUUUUCUUGUGGGUGUUUUGGGGGCUCCUUUGCAGGGUGGGUAGGAUCCUUUUACUCGUUUAGUGUGUUGCAAACAUCUUACCACAUGGCUUAUGUUUCCAUGAACUUGAGGUUGUGUUUGGUGAACAGUUCCUAAUUGUACUGUCACUCAAUCUAUCAGGCUUUCCCUCUGCAGAUAGUUUAUACAUCUUGUUUAGGAACUCUGUUUCUAUUCUGAGGUCAUGACAAUAUUUUUUGCUAUGAUCACGUAGAGGUUUUAUUGUUUAGACUUUCGCAGUUUCACCACUUGAGAUUGUACGGUGUGAGGCAGGGAUCCAGUUCACUUUUCCCCACAUGGGAUGUGAAAGGCCAGACCACUUACUGGUCCUUCCUCCACGGUUCUUCAGCAUCACACUUGUCAAAACCAACACCUGGUUAUAGAAGGGCCUGUUUCUGAGUCCUAAUUCUGGUCCACUGGUUUGUUUAUCUAUUCUUGUUUUAACAGUGCACUCUAAUGUAGAUUCAACCAACUGCAGAUCCUGCGGCUCUAUAGUAUAUACUGCCGAAAAGACCCAUGUGUAAGCAGACUGGCACAGUUUAAAACUGUGUUGUUCAAGGGCCAGCUGUGUUUUCUGCAUUUUCCCGCUUUACAAUGCCUACAUCCCUCAUCAUAACCACAGCUCUCACAGUCACUCCAUGGCAGACACCAGCCCUUUUCCCUGGCUUUUCCCUGUUGGUCUGGUAUAGUUUGAUUAAACUUUUAGAUGGCUGGAUUUUGCUGGAAGCUAUAUUUUUAAAAAGAAGGGCUCUUGGGUAUUUUAUAAUCUCCUUAAUUUCAUGCUUACACUGUACUUUUUGCUCUCAUAUUUGAAUGAAAUCUUGCCUGUGUCCUACUUUUCCUCACAACUGUGCAGUUGCUGAGUCAUUAUUCUGCUGUUUUCUGCCUAUGGUAAAGUCUGAGAUUAGCCUCAUUUUAUGUCCUUGUAGAUGAUUUGAUUUUUUAAAAUUUAUAUUCCUUAAAUAUUCUUUCUAAUCUCCUAACUGGUGUGUUCAUCUGGGUUAUUUUGGGGGGCUUAAUAUGGGAAUAAAACAGUUUAAAAUAAGGUUUAGGGUUUACACGGUGUCCAGAGGAGCUGGGGAGGGAGGAUCUGGAAGGUUCUGUCCCAAGGAGUUUUGCCCGAAGCUCUGGAGCAGGUGAAGCAGCCGAGCUGUCAGAGAGUUCAAGAAGACGCCAGGGCCAGUGGCAGCGACCAUGAUGAGAGUGCCCACGGGGUGCCUGCAGGAGCUGGCCAGUGGGAGGGCGUCUCUAGACAGUCGUCUCCACCCCCCCCACCUCCAGCUCUGCACAUUGCACACUCCCUGGCCUGGACUCAGGGCAAAGGCCAGGGAAGGGGACCCUGGGAGACAUAGUUCCCAGUUUAGGAGGCAAUUGGGAUGGGCCCAGUUGACAAAGGCAACAGUUAUUUCCUUGGUGUCAGGUGUUACGUAUGCACAUAUCCAGUGUUCCUGGAACAUCCUCUGUUGAUCGAAAAAAUCUAGAUCUUUUUUAUUUCAAGGAAAAUUUCAUGCAUUGUAAUUUUGAGGACAUUUUUUGCUCAAUUUGUUGGUGGUCUACUUCAGGGCACCAAUUAUCCCAUGUUGGACUUUCAUCCUCUGCCUCUGUGGGCAGCUGUCUGUCUGUCUUCAAGCUUUCCCUCUAGUCCCUUAUAGGAUUUUCAGUGUUUUGUAUUAUGUUCCAACUAUUUCCAAAAAGAUGUUCUUUGGCCUGUAAUUGUUUUCACUAUAUACACAGAGUUCCCUUUCAAUUAGUCAGUGACAUAAUCCUGAAAGUUGAAAGAAAAGUGUACCAGCCAAACUGGUUUGAAUUAAAAUAGUAAAGCAAUAGGAACAUUUACAAAGUAUAUGCUUAUCUAAAAAUUAGGGCAUUAUUGCUGAGGAAGAAGCGAGGAGCAGCCUUUGAGGGAAGAGAACUAGUAGGUUCUACCUCGUUGUGAGUUCUUAAGUAGGAAUGGAAUGCUUAGAUUCGGGUUCCACACACCUACGCUGCAGUCCCGACCUGACCCUGCAUGCUGUGGUCCUGUCAGGGCCACUCAGGGAAGCUUCAAACAAGGUCCGUCUUCUCAGAGAACUCAUGGAAGCUCAAGGCUGAAAGUGACCCAACAGAAGGUGAAGUGAGAGAGGGCAGGUGGGGCUCAGUGACCUGAGGACGGUCUGCACUCUGGGGGGUGAGACAAUGCCAGGAAUUGGAUGCUGUUGAUAUUUCAUCGCUUUGGGGGAUAAAUUUCCAGUGAUUCUCGGCCUCUGAGAAGAAGGAAAUUCUAAUGAUUCCUUCUCAUUUGUGGAAUGUUCUGGGUUUUGUAAUUGUUUGGCUUUUAAUAAAACUGUAAUCUUUAAGGGAUGCGGUGCGUAUUGAAUGGAACUGAUUGAAAUAGCUUCUGUUGGAGAAUCACACAAUGUCACUCCCUCAUUUGGAAGGGCAAGAGGUGCCAAUCAAACCAGUUUACAAGAAUACAUUUGCUUUAUCCACCCAUUUACUGAGUGUGCUGAAGGAAAAAUCCAUUCAAAUGAAUACCUAAUGCAGGGCUCAGCGUGUCUGGUUACGUGCGGAACUCCAGCCACACGUUUCUGAAAUUUCCUUUGAAAUCCCAAGGACAUCAUUUAGCUUAGAAAUGCAUUAUUAAUGUUCCAAUUAAUAUAAAAUUCUCUGUUGUAUUUUUGGUGACUGAAUGAGAACCGAUAAAUCUUAUAAAUUACAAUGCAAGUUGCAGCAAAAAUGCUUUAGAACCUUUUCCGCUCUCGAGGUACAAGCUGCUUUAUCGUUCUGCCUGCUCACCGUUAGUUUUCCUUGCUUCCUUUGUUACUCAGCGUAGGUGCAUGUUUUCUGAAUUUAAGCUGAGUUGUGACCAGACACCUCUUGAUGAAGCUCCACAGUUCCUGCUGCAAACGGUGGCGUGGCUCCGGGGAUGGUCCCGAUUAGGACCUGCGGGUUCCCGGAGCAGCUUUCAAGACUGCUCACGGUGAGGCCAAAUAUGUGCACAAUUCCCCCCAAUGUGCAAAUUGCACACGACUGAGCAUUCACAGAUGCGGUGUGAAUACCCCUUCUGUUCUGCUAGAGGCUGAAGAUUCGUAAACCACAGAACCGAGGAUUUCACUGCAGCACACAGGCUUUCUGAAGGCACGGAAGGCAUGACGAGAAAGAGACUGCGGUUGACUUAACAAACAUAGAAUUCACGCUCCAAAUAGAGCUUUCUUCAGAACAACCACUCCUGACCCCAUCUGUGCGUUUGGUCAAGAGGAACGUCCGUUGCUCAAAGACACGACUUGGACGUGGAGCUGCCGCCCGUGUCCAUCGCUGCGGGCAGAGCCCCUUGGGCCCGGGGCGACGCGUUGUGUGAUGGGAGGGGCCCCGGGGACCCGCUGCGCUGAGCAGGGCGCGUUGAAGCUGCUGGGCCGCUGGGCUGAGUUCAGGGCUGUCGUGAGCGAGGGGCCUGGUUUCCAGUGGCUCUGAGGACAGCUCCCGAGGAGGCGCCCGGAGAGGCUUCGGUUAGAGGGGAGAAAGGGGAAAACCGCACGGCUUCCGAGGACCAAGCGUUCACAUGUUUAAAUCAGUGUGUUUGUUUAAACCUGUUAGUCUCCUUGCUUCACAAUCAUAUCUUUUUUAUUAAUUUAGUUUUGAUUGAAGUAUGGUUGAUUUACAAUGUUGUGUUAAUCUCUGCUGUACAGCAGAGCGGCUCAGUUAUACACACACAUACAUUCUUUUUCAUAUUCUUUCCCAUCACGGUUUAUUACAGGAACGUGAAUGCAGUUCCCUGGGGCAUGCAGUAGGACCUUCUUGUUUAUCCAUCCUGUAUAUACCAGUUUGCAUCUGCUCGUCCCAAGCUCCCAAUCCCUCCCUCCCCCACCCUUGGCGACCACGAGUCUGUUCUCUGUGUGAGUCGGAUUCUGUUUCGUAGGCCCAGGUCUCCUCUCCAUGGUGACAGUGAGCACUGAUUGGGAAAAGAACUACCAGUAUUUGGUCAUCAAUGAUACGCCGGCAAAUACACCUGAGUAUUCACCAUAUUCUCAGAUGGAUAAACUUCGUAUGUGCCUUGUUCUAUAUGCUAGAACUUUCCAGGAUGAUUUACAAAGUAAGCCCUAAUUCCCAGGUCUUUACCUUUGUGUGUCAUGUACGAUGACUGUUUUAACCCAGUGGCUUUCAGCAAGUGUGAAGCAUUAUUGAUAUUAAAAAGCCUUGGAUAAAACUCCUGUUUCUAACGUUGGCUCCUUACAGCACGUCACAUCUCUUACCACUUCGUUGCCGGUGGCUUCAGAACUUGCGUUUAUCUUUGGGAGAUUUGAAUAAAAAAGGAACCUUUGUGGCACCAGCCACACAGAUGGAGAAACACAGCCAGGCUUCCCUCCAAAGGCUCACAAAGCUUGGAAGAAAUUCUUUCUUUAGGAGCAUCUAGACAAAACAUGAUAGAUACGACAAAGUUUUAAAAAUACCAAAUGAAACAAACAAAAAGACGGAAUAUCUGAGGGAAGAAGCAAAAGUACAGAAAUUUCUGCAAUGUUUCCAGCUGCUUUAAACAUUUUUUUUUAAGUUGAAAUCUUUAUCCAUAAUUCUUGAGCUUAUACUAAAUCACAGAACCAGAAUCUAUGCCUGGCCCCCUGGUUCCACUCAGGCAGCUCCCAAGUUGCCCGUUGGGGUCCUCACCUGUCCUGCAUGCGUGGCCUCUAGAAGAUGCUCAGGACACGCGGCCAAACCAAGAAAAUGGAGACAGAAGAGGAAAAAUACGUGGUUCUCACAAGAUGCAAAUGCAUAUGAAGCCACGUAAAAUACCCGCGUGGACAGAGGUAUUGAUUGUGUAGAGAUAGAAGGUUGUGUAGCAUCUUUGCCAAAGAUAUGCAGUGUGAUCUUCCAUCGUUUCUAGAUUAUAUAUUUCAAGAUGAUACUGGGCUAAGAUUGGCUGUUUUUGAAGCAACAAAGCUUAUCAAGGAAGCGUGUUUACAGUUUAAAGUGUGCGAAGAAAGUGGGGGGUUUGGAGAGGUGGACGUGGCGAUUUACUGGCAUUGGGAGUGGACACGGGGAAGCAUGGCAACGAGGAGGGCAUAAUCCCCCAACAUCCGCCUCUGCCUGCCAGUUUGGGGCAGUUGACGGCGCUGCCUGCCGGACACACAUGUGGCCAGUGUGUCUCUGCGGCUCUGAGCGUCUGAGCCACUGUGGCAAAUCACCAAGUGCUGGCCGAACAACGGCAGCAAAGGAUACUUUUGUUUUCUUUUUCCGUUUGGCGCGUGAGAAAGCCUUCUCCUCUUUCCUGCUUAAAUAUACACAAAGGACUCAGUAUACUUAGAGUGUUAACACCCCGAAAGGGAAACUGGGAAUUUUAAAGGAGUUUAAUCUGACAACUGAUGCUCUAGUUAAUGCCUAAAUGAAUGCCUGAUUAGCUCCACAUUUUCCAGGAAAUCACAGCAUUUUGCAUCAUGACAUAAUUUGAGAUUACGUAUCAUUUUAUUUUAUCUCAAAGCAGCACACACAUAAAAGCUAAGCGUCUCCCUGCUGGCACUUGUUCCUCCUCUAGCAUGUCUGGACUGGCAAUUUGGCUCAGUGAUAGGUAGCAAAAAAACCGUCGUUGCAAAAGAGGGAACUGUGCUUUAGUUUUGUAAGACUUUUUAGUGGUUUGGGUUAUGAAGAUGUCGGACGGCGGCCGUGCCGGAGUCGGGUGCUCACCACGUCUGUUCAGAGAACUCGGGCACAUCUCUGUGCUGCCCCGUCGUUAUUUUUAAAGGGUGACGGGAAAUCCAUUCGUCUGAAAACCUUUUCUUGACGUGCUAACAAGGACGUCGACUGGUAGCCAUUCAACGGCGGCUCCGAUGAUGUGGACGCCCGCCCGUGAGGGGACGAGGGGCUCACUGGGGACGGUGGCCUCGUGACGCACGGCCGCAGGGUCGGUUUCCCAGACCGGAGGCUGCUCUUCGUUUUCUCUGGGCUUUCCUUCUGAAAAUCUGGGUUGCAGAUAUGCUCAAGGGAGGCGGCAUCGUUGAGACCGUCUCUGCCAGCACGUCGUCCUGGUGGCGCAGACGCUGCAGCCCCCGGGGAAGGCAGAGGCAGGAGGUCUGAACUGGGGCGCGUCCCCCCGCAAGUCACGAGGUUCUGUCCCCUCGUGGGCCUGGUGUCC